rnacentral:lncRNA from 1 species
UGGGACGUACCCUUGUUUUAGGAUGAUGGAGGGUGAUGGUGAAUUCGCAAUUUUUUUUUUGAACGCAAGAUUUGUUUUUAUCUUUCAGAAAAGAGAAAAAUGGUUGACCCAUAGUAUAUUCUUGCUGACCAAGGCGGCCAGGCCGGGGGCCCUUCACUGGGACUGGGUCGCUGCACUGCACGCCUGCACGUCUGGCUACUGCUGCACCUGCACUGCACAUGCUGUGGUUGGCCUGUGGUCCCUCGUCCGUGCACAAACAGUCCGUUUUUUUUUUCACAAAUUUAGGCCUUGUUUAGUUUCUAAAAAUUUUGCAAAAUUUUUCAGAUUUCUCGUCACGUCGAAUCUUUAGACGUAUGCAU